AAGGCGUCGGACUUCGGAUCCGAAGAUUGCAGGUUCGAGUCCUGCCAGGGUCG
rnacentral:tRNA from 1 species